UGCCGAUCCUAAGUCCAAAAUUGAUCCAAAUUGUUCAAGAACUCUAGAAUUUCUAUCAUAAAUUAAACCCUAGAUAUGUAGAUUCAAAGCCCCCGGGAUUGGGGCUUUGAAUCAUCUCUUCAUUCUCUACAUGCCAAUAACCAGGAUUUGAUGAAAAGAGAGAUUUUGAGACUCACCGUACCAGAGAUUUCGAAGGUGAUGAUGAACGCAGGUGAACUCUUAUUUCCAGGUCAUGGUUUGCUCAUGUUUUGCUAAGUUCAUGGCAUGAUGGUUGAACAAACAUGGCAUCAAAGUUGGACUUUGAAGCAUCCAUGUAGAAGUGGCAAAGAUGCAAAGAUCAAGAUGGAUCCAAGUUUGAAGAUUAGCAUUAGGAUUAGGAUGGGGAUUUGGGAUGAAAAAGGUUGGGUUGACUUUUGUCAAAGUUUACCAAAAAGUCAAUUGUUGACAAAAGUCAACAUUUGGUCAACAUAUCCAAAUUUGUAUUUUUUGAUGUAAUGAACAUUUUAUGAUCAUGAAAUGAAUGAUAUUGAUACA